AAGUCGUAACAAGGUUUCCGUAGGUGAACCUGCGGAAGGAUCAUUAGCGAAGUCUGGAAUGCGUGUUAGGUGCUGAGCUGCCCGGCGACGGGAUGUGCUCGCCCUGAUGCGUGUCCCUUCUCUAUCCACCCCACUGUGAACCAAGUGUGCGAGCCGAAGAGAGAUCGGAAGCUCGCAUGCAACCUUUAACAUACCCCUACGAAGUAUCAGAAUGUACCUUGCGUUAACUCGCACAAAUAUAACUUUCAACAACGGAUCUCUUGGCUCUC
rnacentral:misc_RNA from 1 species